UACGGGGGGAGCAAGCGUUGUUCGGAUUUACUGGGCGUAAAGGGCGCGUAGGCGGUCGUGACAAGUCACUUGUGAAAUCUCCGGGCUUAACUCGGAACGGUCAAGUGAUACUGUCGGACUAGAGUACAGAAGGGGCAACUGGAAUUCUCGGUGUAGCGGUGAAAUGCGUAGAUAUCGGGAGGAACACCAGUGGCGAAGGCGGCUUCCUGGCCUGUUCUUGACGCUGAGGCGCGAAAGCUAGGGUAGCGAACAGG
rnacentral:rRNA from 1 species